CGGGGUGCAGCAGGCGCGAAACCUCUGCAAUAGGCGAAAGCCUGACAGGGUUACUCUGAGUGACUUUCGUUAAGAGAGUCUUUUGGCACCUCUAAAAAGGGUGUAGAAUAAGGAGUGGGCAAGUCUGGUGUCAGCCGCCGCGGUAAUACCAGCACCCCGAGUGGUCGGGACGAUUAUUGGGCCUAAAGCAUCCGUAGCCGGUUCUGCAAGUCCUCCGUUAAAUCCAACUGCUUAACAGAUGGGCCGCGGAGGAUACUACAGAGCUAGGAGGCAGGAGAGGCAAGCGGUACUCAGUGGGUAGGGGUAAAAUCCGUUGAUCCAUUGAAGACCACCAGUGGCGAAGGCGGCUUGCCAGAAUGCGCUCGACGGUGAGGGAUGAAAGCUGGGGGAGCAAACCGGAUUAGAUACCCGGGUAGUCCCAGCCGUAAACGAUGCAGACUCGGUGAUGGGUUGGCUUCGUGCUAACCCAGUGCCGCAGGGAAGCCGUUAAGUCUGCCGCCUGGGUAGUACGGUCGCAAGACUGAAACUUAAAGGAAUUGGCGGGCGAGCAC
rnacentral:rRNA from 1 species